rnacentral:rRNA from 1 species
GCUCAGAUUGAACGCUGGCGGCAGGCCUAACACAUGCAAGUCGAGCGGCAGCGGGGGGAAGCUUGCUCUCCCGCGCCGGCGAGCGGCGGACGGGUGAGUAAUGUCUGGGGAUCUGCCUGAUGGAGGGGGAUAACUACUGGAAACGGUAGCUAAUACCGCAUAACGUCGCAAGACCAAAGUGGGGGACCUUCGGGCCUCACGCCAUCGGAUGAACCCAGAUGGGAUUAGCUAGUAGGUGGGGUAACGGCUCACCUAGGCGACGAUCCCUAGCUGGUCUGAGAGGAUGACCAGCCACACUGGAACUGAGACACGGUCCAGACUCCUACGGGAGGCAGCAGUGGGGAAUAUUGCACAAUGGGGGAAACCCUGAUGCAGCCAUGCCGCGUGUGUGAAGAAGGCCUUCGGGUUGUAAAGCACUUUCAGCGGGGAGGAAGGCGGCAAGGUUAAUAACCUUGUCGAUUGACGUUACCCGCAGAAGAAGCACCGGCUAACUCCGUGCCAGCAGCCGCGGUAAUACGGAGGGUGCAAGCGUUAAUCGGAAUGACUGGGCGUAAAGCGCACGCAGGCGGUCUGUUAAGUUGGAUGUGAAAUCCCCGGGCUUAACCUGGGAACUGCAUUCAAAACUGACAGGCUAGAGUCUCGUAGAGGGGGGUAGAAUUCCAGGUGUAGCGGUGAAAUGCGUAGAGAUCUGGAGGAAUACCGGUGGCGAAGGCGGCCCCCUGGACGAAGACUGACG